UACGAAGGUCCCAAGCGUUAUCCGGAUUUAUUGGGUUUAAAGGGUGCGUAGGCGGGUUAUUAAGUCAGUGGUGAAAGCCUACAGCUUAACUGUAGAAUUGCCAUUGAUACUGAUGAUCUUGAGUAUGAUUGAGGUGGGCGGAAUGUGUCAUGUAGCGGUGAAAUGCUUAGAUAUGACACAGAACACCGAUUGCGAAGGCAGCUCACUAAGUCAUAACUGACGCUGAUGCACGAAAGCCAGGGGAGCAAACGGG
rnacentral:rRNA from 1 species